rnacentral:rRNA from 1 species
CCAAAAUCCGGGUGGCAAUGGGAAGCCGUGAUGCGGAGUGAAAUAAAGUAGCGAAGUCCGUGAGCCAUGCGUCAAGAAAAGCCGCUAUCGUUUAUACCGUACCCGUACCGUAAACCGACACAGGUGGAUGAGGAGAGAAUCCUAAGGCCGGCGGAAGAAGCAUUGUCAAGGAACUCGGCAAAUGGCCCCGUAACUUAGGGAUAAGGGGUGCCUGGGAAACCAGGCCGCAGAGAAUAGGCUCAAGCAACUGUUUAGCAAAAACACAGGUCUAUGCGAAACCGAAAGGUGAGGUAUAUGGGCUGACGCCUGCCCGGUGCUGGAAGGUUAAGAGGAGAGGUUAGCGGUAACGCGAAGCUUUGAAUUUAAGCCCCAGUAAACGGCGGCCGUAACGAUAACGGUCCUAAGGUAGCGAAAUUCCUUGUCGGGUAAGUUCCGACCCGCACAAAAGGCGUAAUGAUUUGAGCUCUGUCUCGACAAUGCAUCCGGUGAAAUUGAAGUACCAGUGAAGAUGCUGGUUACCUGCGCCAGGACGGAAAGACCCCAUGGAGCUUUACUCCAGUCUGGUACUGGGACUCGGUAUUGCAUGUACAGGAUAGGUGGGAGGCUAGGAGAUGGUAACGCCAGUUGCCAUGGAGCCGCUGUUGGGAUACCACCCUUGCAGUAUUGGGUUUCUAACCAGCCGCCGUGACCCGGCGGUGGGACAAUGCCAGACGGGGAGUUUGACUGGGGCGGUCGCCUCCGAAAGGGUAUCGGAGGCGCCCAAAGGUUCCCUCAGAAUGGACGGAAACCAUUCGAAGAGUGCAAAGGCAGAAGGGAGCUUGACUGCGACACCGACGGGUGGAGCAGGUACGAAAGUAGGGCUUAGUGAUCCGGUGGUAUUAAGUGGGAAUGCCAUCGCUCAACGGAUAAAAGCUACCCUGGGAUAACAGGCUUAUCACUCCCAAGAGUUCACAUCGACGGAGUGGUUUGGCACCUCGAUGUCGGCUCAUCGCAUCCUGGGGCUGUAGUAGGUCCCAAGGGUUGGGCUGUUCGCCCAUUAAAGCGGUACGCGAGCUGGGUUCAGAACGUCGUGAGACAGUUCAGUCCCUAUCCGGCGUGGGCGUAGGAUAUCUGAGAGGAGCUGUCCUUAGUACGAGAGGAGCGGGAUGGACGGGCCGCUGGUGCAUCGGUUAGACUGCCAAGUCUACGGCCGAGUAGCCAAGCCCGGAAGGGAUAAACGCUGAAGGCAUCUAAGCGUGAAGCCCCCCUUAAGAUGAGAUAUCCCAUUCGUUAAGAAGUAAACCCCCUUGAAGACGACGAGGUAGAUAGGGCAGAGGUGGAAGUGUAGCAAUGCAUGGAGCUGACUGUUACUAAUCGGGUGAGGGCUUGAC